rnacentral:rRNA from 1 species
ACAUGCAAGUCGAGCGGAGAUAUGGUGCUUGCACCAUAUUUUAGCGGCGGACGGGUGAGUAAUGCUUAGGAAUCUGCCUAUUAGUGGGGGACAACAUUCCGAAAGGAAUGCUAAUACCGCAUACGCCCUACGGGGGAAAGCAGGGGAUCUUCGGACCUUGCGCUAAUAGAUGAGCCUAAGUCAGAUUAGCUAGUUGGUGGGGUAAAGGCCUACCAAGGCGACGAUCUGUAGCGGGUCUGAGAGGAUGAUCCGCCACACUGGGACUGAGACAUGGCCCAGACUCCUACGGGAGGCAGCAGUGGGGAAUAUUGGACAAUGGGCGAAAGCCUGAUCCAGCCAUGCCGCGUGUGUGAAGAAGGCCUUUUGGUUGUAAAGCACUUUAAGCGAGGAGGAGGCUACUUGGAUUAAUACUCUAGGAUAGUGGACGUUACUCGCAGAAUAAGCACCGGCUAACUCUGUGCCAGCAGCCGCGGUAAUACAGAGGGUGCGAGCGUUAAUCGGAUUUACUGGGCGUAAAGCGUGCGUAGGCGGCUUUUUAAGUCGGAUGUGAAAUCCCUGAGCUUAACUUAGGAAUUGCAUUCGAUACUGGGAAGCUAGAGUAUGGGAGAGGAUGGUAGAAUUCCAGGUGUAGCGGUGAAAUGCGUAGAGAUCUGGAGGAAUACCGAUGGCGAAGGCAGCCAUCUGGCCUAAUACUGACGCUGAGGUACGAAAGCAUGGGGAGCAAACAGGAUUUAGAUACCCUGGUAGUCCAUGCCGUAACGAUGUCUACU